rnacentral:rRNA from 1 species
AAUAUUGCACAAUGGGGGAAACCCUGAUGCAGCAACGCCGCGUGAGGGAUGAAUGCCUUCGGGUUGUAAACCUCUUUUAGUAGGGAAGAAGCCUUCGGGUGACGGUACCUGCAGAAAAAGCACCGGCUAACUACGUGCCAGCAGCCGCGGUAAUACGUAGGGUGCAAGCGUUGUCCGGAAUUAUUGGGCGUAAAGAGCUCGUAGGCGGCUUGUCGCGUCUGCUGUGAAAUCCUGAGGCUCAACCUUGGGCGUGCAGUGGGUACGGGCAGGCUAGAGUGCGGUAGGGGAGAUUGGAAUUCCUGGUGUAGCGGUGGAAUGCGCAGAUAUCAGGAGGAACACCGAUGGCGAAGGCAGAUCUCUGGGCCGUAACUGACGCUGAGGAGCGAAAGCAUGGGGAGCGAACAG